rnacentral:rRNA from 1 species
AGUCGGACGGCAGCGCGGGGGCACCCUGGCGGCGAGUGGCGAACGGGUGAGUAAUACAUCGGAACGUGUCCUGGAGUGGGGGAUAGCCCGGCGAAAGCCGGAUUAAUACCGCAUACGCUCUAUGGAGGAAAGCGGGGGAUCUUCGGACCUCGCGCUCAAGGGGCGGCCGAUGGCAGAUUAGCUAGUUGGUGGGGUAAAGGCCUACCAAGGCGACGAUCUGUAGCUGGUCUGAGAGGACGACCAGCCACACUGGGACUGAGACACGGCCCAGACUCCUACGGGAGGCAGCAGUGGGGAAUUUUGGACAAUGGGGGCAACCCUGAUCCAGCAAUGCCGCGUGUGUGAAGAAGGCCUUCGGGUUGUAAAGCACUUUUGUCCGGAAAGAAAACCUCCGUCCUAAUACGGUGGGGGGAUGACGGUACCGGAAGAAUAAGCACCGGCUAACUACGUGCCAGCAGCCGCGGUAAUACGUAGGGUGCAAGCGUUAAUCGGAAUUACUGGGCGUAAAGCGUGCGCAGGCGGUUCGCUAAGACCGAUGUGAAAUCCCCGGGCUUAACCUGGGAACUGCAUUGGUGACUGGCGGGCUAGAGUAUGGCAGAGGGGGGUAGAAUUCCACGUGUAGCAGUGAAAUGCGUAGAGAUGUGGAGGAAUACCGAUGGCGAAGGCAGCCCCCUGGGCCAAUACUGACGCUCAUGCACGAAAGCGUGGGGAGCAAACAGGAUUAGAUACCCUGGUAGUCCACGCCCUAAACGAUGUCAACUAGUUGUCGGGUCUUCAUUGACUUGGUAACGAAGCUAACGCGUGAAGUUGACCGCCUGGGGAGUACGGUCGCAAGAUUAAAACUCAAAGGAAUUGACGGGGACCCGCACAAGCGGUGGAUGAUGUGGAUUAAUUCGAUGCAACGCGAAAAACCUUACCUACCCUUGACAUGUACGGAACCUUGCUGAGAGGUGAGGGUGCCCGAAAGGGAGCCGUAACACAGGUGCUGCAUGGCUGGCG